UGGGGAAUCUUGGACAAUGGGCGCAAGCCUGAUCCAGCCAUACCGCGUGAGUGAAGAAGGCCUUCGGGUUGUAAAGCUCUUUUACCAGGGACGAUAAUGACGGUACCUGGAGAAUAAGCCCCGGCAAACUUCGUGCCAGCAGCCGCGGUAAUACGAAGGGGGCUAGCGUUGUUCGGAAUUACUGGGCGUAAAGCGCACGUAGGCGGAUUGUUAAGUCAGAGGUGAAAUCCCGGAGCUCAACUUCGGAACUGCCUUUGAUACUGGCAAUCUAGAGUCCGGAAGAGGUUAGUGGAAUUCCCAGUGUAGAGGUGAAAUUCGUAGAUAUUGGGAAGAACACCAGUGGCGAAGGCGGCUAACUGGUCCGGUACUGACGCUGAGGUGCGAAAGCGUGGGGAGCAAACAGGAUUAGAUACCCUCGUAGUCCCUGAGCGGGCUGGCAAGGCGCAU
rnacentral:rRNA from 1 species